CACGGGGUUGCGAGCGUUGUCCGGAAUUACUGGGCGUAAAGAGCUCGUAGGUGGUUUGUCGCGUCGUCUGUGAAAUUCCGGGGCUUAACCUCGGGCGUGCAGGCGAUACGGGCAAUACUUGAGUGCUGUAGGGGAGACUGGAAUUCCUGGUGUAGCGGUGAAAUGCGCAGAUAUCAGGAGGAACACCGAUGGCGAAGGCAGGUCUCUGGGCAGUAACUGACGCUGAGGAGCGAAAGCAUGGGUAGCGAACAGGAUUAGA
rnacentral:rRNA from 1 species